UGGUUUGAGUUGCCUGGGGCGGAUUAGGAUGAGGCAGUCUUGGAAGAUUGAAGCGGAGUUGCCAAAGAUGAAGUCCACGUUGCCUUGGAUGUUGCAUGAUUUGUAGAACUGGCGAAGGGAGUGAGCGUAGAGAGUGUCUUGAUUGCCUAAGAAUUCACAGUUCUCAAUCACUGAUAAAUCGCUACCUGAUCUGAAAGCUACAGCUUGGUGGGCAUCAGGACCGGCUGUGUUUUGGAAUGUGAGACCACUGGCCAUGAACCCAUCACCACUCACACCUGUGCCAUGAUCAAACACCAUUCGAUUGAUCAAUAGGACCAACAACGCCUUAGGAGUUAGGAGCAAGGAAACAAAGAAAACAGCGUGCAUGUUGGCUCACGUGUCAGCACCAUAGUGUGGGUCCUACUCGUGAAUUCCCAUACGUAAGUUUCAAACCAACUAACGUCCUAUCAUUCAGCACAAUUUUAAUAAUAACUAAAAUAACCUAUUACUAUGAAUAAUAAAUAAAUAUCAUACGCUUUCUGCGACAUAUAGUGUUCCUACUUCUACAUUUGAUUACUGCCUACCCUACGUGGCUAGAUGCCAUUGGCUAAAAUCAGAAAAGACCAUCGGAAAUUCAAGUAGUCGAUUAAUAUCACCCAAACAACUUACGACUUACCGACAGUGGCUGUGUUGUAGGUGGAAAUUCCAGGCUGGCCCACAUUCAACGAUCCCGUAAUUACCGUUUUACCCAUCCCAUCUCCCAAAAACACCACGUUCUUUUUUUCCAACGGCACCCGAACCGUCUCCUCAUAGACCCCUUCUCGAAUCCGAAUCACGAACUUCCGGUCACCGGCGUUAGCCGGCGCGGCGUCCACCGCUUCCUGCACCGUCUUGUAGCACCCGUUUCCGUCCUUGCACACGGUGGCGUCCGGCGGAAGACCAGUCGGAACUCCACCUUUGACCCCCAAUCCGGAUUCUUCGCCCAACCCGGAAGGCUCCCAGAAGCCGUCUCGCUCCGUUUUGGGGGGCCUCCAGGACCCGAUGUCGUUCCCGAAAAUAUCGUAAGAUGCCAUCAUGCUUAGACCGUUGCUGCUCAGCCCAAGAAGGGAGUCUAAAAACGACAUCGUUUUGUUCACCUGUUGAGUGUCGUUGGCGUACUUCAAAGCCGACCAGCAAUCGUACUGGUAUAGUAGAGCCGCGCUCACCCAGGCCCUCGCGUCCUUGAUCUUCCCAUGUGGCAGAGCCUCCAUCGUCGAUGAGAUCCGGUACUCGGAGUUAUGCAACACCUCCAGGCAGUUCUUCGCCGCCGUCGUCCGAUUCAGGUUCCGUGCGGAUGCGUCCAGGAUGUCCUUUACCAUGGACUGCGCCGUCUUGAGAUUCUCCAAGGAGACCCAUAAGGCUGAUUGGAUGACAUCGAUGGGCUUGGGAUCGGGAGGGACCCGAUCGGAAGCGAUCAGAGAGGCCUCGCAGGUUUCUGGGUAACGCGUAGCGGCGCAGGCCUGGUGGAUCUGGGGAGGAACAGAGGCGGUGGAGGGCUGGGGGGUGAUGGGUUGGGGGAAAUGCGGGAGGGAGUGGCGAGGGCUAUGGUGGUGAGAGGCGGAGGAGAGGGAGAAGAAGAGGAAGAGGGAGAGAAGAGCGAGAAGGAAGAGAGAAGCCAUGGAGAGGAUAAGGAAUUUAGAGAAGGAGUGGGGCUUUAUAGGCUUUCUGGAGUGCAUGAUGAUAGUGGAAAUGGGGUUUGGAUUGUAGCGAAUAUUAGAGAAGAAGAGACUAGGAGGAAUGGAAGUCACGGGUGGCUUCUCACGGGUGUGAAGAUAGAAAUCGGUGAUUCUGUUAUUGGCAGCAUUGACUAGGCGUGGAAUGUAAAGCAGAUAAAACCAAGCCACUUACCACUAGGUCUGUAUUUUGGGUUGUGCCUCAUACCUGCACCACCUACCUCCCUCCCUCCCUCCCUCCCUCCCUCCCUCCCUCUCCCUGACUCAGAACUCACAAAGGGAAAGACCCAACAAUUAGGGGACAGAGGCUGUUUUCCAGAGAACCAUAAACCCGCCCUUUUAAUUGACUUUGUCAAUGCUUUCCCAUCUUUUCUCCUUUCAUCGCUUUCCAACUUAAUGCGCGUAUUUUGGUCAUUUUCAGGUAAAUCAGAGGCUCGUUCGAUCAUACUGUAACCACCAUAUGGAAGGCUUGGAGUCUACGCUACUUGGAUUUUAAUCUGAGUGAGUGAAGGCAAAAUGAAUAUGAGAAGAGAGCAAUUAAAAUUAAGAUAAUGCAAGUUGCAGCUAAUGUAAUUUGUCUAGGAAUUGGAAUGAAAUUGGCCGGUAUAGUUUGGAACAAGAACUAAACCACUACGGAAUCUUGGAUAUCUGAAGUUGUAGAGACAAUCAAGUGAGUCGGUGGCAUACAGUGGAAAGCACACUAAGGUAAGUGAUAUUGUAUUUAAUUGUAAUAUAAAUAAAAUAGUGUGAUUUGCUAUAUGCGUUAUAAGUAUUUUUUUUUUUUAAAAAAAAGAACACCAGCCUACUAGACUUACAACUCACUAGAAUAGAUGAAGAGAUAUGUUUGGUUACUAGGAAAAUAUAAGCAAAAGAAAAUAAAAAUUAAAAAUAAAAUGCCGAGGAAAGUGAAUAUAUAUAUAUAUAUAAAGUUAAUAAAUUAUUUAUUUGUUUUAAAUUUUUUUAUUAUAAGAAUUAAAUAAUUUAAAAACGUAUAAAUUUUUAAUCAGUUUUAAUUAUAUUUGAUUUUUUUUUUUUGCUAUUGUUUUUAUAAGAUCAUAUGAGAAAAUAAUUUUUUAAAUAUUUUUUUAGUACUUUCUAAGAAUCAAUCACGGUGAAUGAGUUUAGAGAGAGAAAUGUUCAUUAUCAGUGGAGUUUCUUGAAUAAUAAAAGUUGCUCCUCAAAACCAAAGUAGGUAUCAAAAGUAAGACCAAGAUAAAUACAGAGUCUUGUUUGUUGGAUUGACUUUUGAAAAAUCAAAAACUCUUUUUCAAACUUGAUAAAACUUUUAUGCUUUUUUGACUAAUUUUGUUGAAAAAUAUAUGCUUUGAAAAAAACUUAAUAUAAAAACCUAGAAAAUAUUGCUUCUUAUAAAAAUUCUAUUUUGAAGUAUUUGAGAAUAUGACCUUUUUUUUCUUUGAAUGUUAAAAAAAAACAAUUGAAGAAAUUAAAGUCUCUUUUGCUUUGGAUUUGGAGUCAUAUUUAGGUGGUAUUUGUUUUUUGAUUGAAUAGAAAAAUCUAAAAUAUUUGAUUUUUUUUAUUCAACUAAAAAUAGUCUGUUGACAUCAUCUAACAUAACUAAAAUAAAUUGGUUAUCAAUAAGUUCAGUUUAAUUAUAUUGAUUGAUAUCAACAAGUUACUUUUAACUGAAUAAAGAAACUAAAAUAUUUUAACUUUUUCUAUUCAGUCAAAAAACAAACGUCAUCUUCCUGUUUUACUUUUUGAUGACUCCAAGGCCAUAUUUUGGAAUUCCUUCUCUAGCCUUUUUGCUAGCACAAUGUUAAAUUGAAGAAGGGAGGUCGAUUAAGCUGACUUUAAUUGUUACGGCAAGUUUAGUGACCCAAGCAAUGAUAGGAGAGUCUUCAUCUUCGAUUUCAACUGCUACUACAAUUCGUAGCAAAUCCAUUGAAUCAACUAAUUAUAGUAAAAUUGAAGGAAAAUAAUUUUUCUUAUGGAAGCAUCAAGUAGGUUGUAGGAUUAAGGGUUAUAAAAGGGAAGGUUUCAUUUUUUGAGACUCGAUUUGAUGAAUUCAACCUUUAAUAUUGCCCCAUCAAAGUCAGGAUCAACUUCUGAUGUCUUGGCUUUUUGCUUGCAUGAGUCUUGGUUUUCUCCUACAACUUGUCAGUUUUGAUACUGUUGAGGAUGUUUGGAGCAUUUUAUUUAUUCGAAUAAAUAAUGUAGCAAUCACUCUUUAGAAUUUGUGUUUUAUUAUGAUAAUUCAAUUUCUUACUGGUUUGAACUAUGACAUAAGAGGCUAGGUCACCCAGCACCAAAAUUUGUUACUAGAGUUUUCUCACAUUAUAAAAUACAAUUUCCCUUGUAAAAGAGAAAACAUGGACAAUGCUAGAACUUGGACUUACCUUGCUUACUUAGGCAUCAAUGCCACUCACACUAGAAGAUGGCUACAUCCCUUAGCUACGGCCGCAUGUAGUAGCUAGUGUGACUUGAUGAUCUAAAGUUGUGGCCACUAUCGCAUUCUUUUCACGACUAAAGGCUUUGUAUGUUUGCGACUAAUCAUAACAGCAACCAUAAGCGUGUAGAAAUAGAAAUGCUAACAGCAUAGUGUUAGACAUGUGCUACGGCCAGUGGAUGGCUGCCACUAUAGGUUGUGAUGUGGACACAGUCACGCUUGAUCAUGACUAUAAGGUCAUUUAUAUAUAUAUGAAUAAAUCAAAGCAAUUACAAAGCAUUCGUUCAUCUGUUUUUACAUUUAUAAUCAAAAUACCCUAUUUAGAGUUGUUACAAAUGAUCGAAUUAGUCAUAAAUGAAUCCCUAUUGAGCUCACAUUGUCAAAAUCAGUUGGUAUUUGUUGGCAAAGAAGCAAGUUUGAGAUUCAUGAAUCAUUCAAACAUCUACAUUGAACAAGAAGAUUCAUGAAAGUGUUGUCAUUAGAGAAAUUCAAAAUUGAUUUAAUAACUUCAUGCUAUUCAUAAAUCAUUAACAUAGUAUCGUGUCUGCGAGUCAAAGUCAUUAGCAAAGUCGCCAUUCCCCUUUGAUAGCGUGGCCGUAAGUUUGUUGAGUGAAAGCGAUUUUUUCAUGACUUUAAGUUUUGGUCACAAUUUAUUGGGAGAAAAGCAUAUACUGAUCAGCUGUAUGAAUGGCCAUUAAAGCAAAAACAUGUUGCUUCAACAGUGACUGUGCCACACAUUCAACCAAACCAUGUAUGGAGACCGUAAUGGCAGGCUACUAAGAAUCGCUACAUCAUAGAUUUCAAAGUAAUGAAGAAAAGUAGAACUUUAUAACAUAAAGUCCAAAUGAUAAAGCAUGCUACAAAUUUUUUCAACUUGAAAAGCGUCCUAAAGGACAUAGAUGUGGAAACGUGACUGCUACAUGAACCAGUGUAUACAUAUCAUACUGUUCAACUUCAGAUAUAAAAAAUAAUUGAGUCAUGGUCAUGGUGUGGGAAUGAAAUGGACUAUAUCCACUCUGUUUAAGCAAGACAAGUAUUAUUCAUUAAAAAAUGCAUGUUAACACUUGGAAGGGAAGUAAAACCCUAAAAGGAAGAAAAGAUAUACGUGGCAGAAACUUUGAAAUUUCUCUCCUCUAUUAAUAGUUUGAGUACAACAUGGACUAAAAGCUUCUAUCUCUGUGAAGGGAUCUAAACCUCCCUCUCAGAUGAAUCUAUUUCUACAAAUGUGGCCGGUGUUACUAAUCAAGAAGUUGUAGGAAUCCACUCAUUACCUUGAAUGAAAUUCUGUACCGAGUACAUGUUUAUGUGCUGAGCAGGAAUCUGGCUACUCCAUGUUACUCUUGCAGACAAAUUAGCUCCCAAUCCAGAAUUGUUGAAUUCCCCAUAAUAAAGUGUUUCUAAUGCAAAGUCACCACUCCAUGGCAGCCACCCUUGUGGUGUCACAAGAGCCUCCAACAAACACUGGAUAAAAACAGUCCUUGAAAACUCCUUCCAUGGCCUCCCCAAGAAGUUCUUGUGUACUUUAGGGUUGCUGUAGUACAACUUCAUGUAGUCGUCGGUGCCAUUGACCACACAAUUUUGGAAAACAAAGCCUGUGGUUUGGGCAGGGUCUGUUCGACUAUGUGCUGUUACAGCGUUGUUCUCCCCGUUUUCUGGGUUGAGUUGCCUGGGGCGGAUUAGGAUGAGGCAGUCUUGGAAGAUUGAAGCGGAGUUGCCAAAGAUGAAGUCCACGUUGCCUUGGAUGUUGCAUGAUUUGUAGAACUGGCGAAGGGAUUCAGCGUAGAGAGUGUCUUGAUUGCCUAAGAAUUCACAGUUCUCAAUCACUGAUAAAUCGCUACCUGAUCUGAAAGCUACAGCUUGGUGGGCGUCAGGACCGGCUGUGUUUUGGAAUGUGAGACCACUAGCCAUGAACCCAUCACCACUUACACCUGUGCCAUGAUCAACAGUUAAUCAAUAUGACCCACAACGCCUUAGGAGUUAGGAGCAAGGAAACAAAGAAAACAGCGUGCAUGUUGUCUCACGUGUCAGCACUAUAGUGUGGGUCCUACUCGUGAAUUCCCAUACGUAAGUUUCAAACCAACUAACGUCCUAUAAUUUCAGACCCUUCAGGAUUUUAAUAAUAAAAUAACCUAUUACUAUGUAAUAAUAAUUAAAUAUCACACGCUUUCUCUAUCAUAGUUGGGCUAAAAUAUAGUGUUCCUACUUCUACAUUUGAUUAAUGGAUACCAUACGUGUCCAGAUUUCAUUGGCUCAAAUCAGAAAAGACUCAACUUCGGAAAUUCAAGCAGUCACCGUCCAAUUAAUAUCACACAAACAACUUACGACUUACCGACAGUCGCUGUGUUGUAGGUGGAAAUUCCAGGCUGGCCCACAUUCAACGAUCCCGUAAUUACCGUUUUACCCAUCCCAUCUCCCAAAAACACCACGUUCUUUUUUUCCAACGGCACCCGAACCGUCUCCUCAUAGACCCCUUCUCGGAUCCGAAUCACGAACUUUCGAUCUCCGGCUUUAGCCGGCGCGGCGUCCACCGCUUCCUGCACCGUCUUGUAGCACCCGUUGCCGCCCUUGCACACCAUGGCGUCUGGUCGAAGACCAGUCGGAACUCCGCCUUUGAACCCUAAUCCGGAUCCUUCGCUCGACCCGGAAGGCUCCCAGAAGCCGUCCCGCUCUGUUUUGGGGGGCCUCCAGGACCCGAUGUCGUUCCCGAAAAUAUCGUAAGAUGCCAUCAUGCUUAGACCGUUGCUGCUUAGCCCAAGGAGGGAAUCUAAAAACGAUAUCGUUUUGUUCACCUGUUGAGUGUCGUUGACGAACGUCAACGCUGACCAGCAAGCGUACUGGUAUAGUAGAGCCGCGCUCAUCCAGGUCCUCGCGUCCUUGAUCUUCCCAUGUGGCAGAGCCUCCAUUGUCGAUAAGAUCCGGUACUCGGAGUUAUGCAACACCUCCAGGCAGUUCUUCGCCGCCGUCGUCCGAUUCUGGUUCCCUGCGGAUGCGUCCAGGAUGUCCUUCACCAUGGACUGCGCCGUCUUGAGAUUCUCCAAGGAGACCCAUAAGGCUGAUAGGAUGACAUCGAUGGGCUUGGGGUCGGGAGGGACCCGAUUGGAUGCGAUCAGAGAGGCGUCGCAGGUUUCUGGGUAACGCGUAGCGGCGCAGGCCUGGUGGAUCUGGGGAGGAACAGAGGCGGUGGAGGGCCUGGGGGUGAUGGGUUGGGGGAAAUGCGGGGGGGAGUGGCGAGGGCUAUGGUGGUGAGAGGCGGAGGAGAGGGAGAAGAAGAGGAGGAAGGAGAGAAGAGCGAGAAGGAGGAUAGAAGCCACGGAGAGGAUAAGGACUUUAGAGGAGUGGGGUUUUAUAGGGUUUCUGAAGUGCAUGAUGAUAGUGGAAAUGGGGUUUGGAUUGUAGAGAAUAUUAGAGAAGAAGAGAUUGGGAGGAAUGGAAGUCACGGGUGGCCUCUCACGGUUGUUAAGAUAGCAGUGGUUGAUUCUGUGGUUGGUAGCAUUAAUUGGGCGUGGAAUGUAAAGCAGGUAAAGCCAAGCCACUUACCACCAGGUC
rnacentral:lncRNA from 1 species